GGAGGAUCCAAGCGUUAUCCGGAUUUAUUGGGUUUAAAGGGUGCGUAGGCGGCCUGUUAAGUCAGGGGUGAAAGACGGUGGCUCAACCAUCGCAGUGCCCUUGAUACUGAUGGGCUUGAAUAAACUAGAGGUAGGCGGAAUGUGACAAGUAGCGGUGAAAUGCAUAGAUAUGUCACAGAACACCGAUUGCGAAGGCAGCCUACUAUGGUUUCAUUGACGCUGAGGCACGAAAGCGUGGGGAUCGAACAGGAUUAGAUACCCUGGUAGUCCACGCCCUAAACGAUGAACACUCGCUGUUGGCGAUACACAGUCAGCGGCUAAGCGAAAGCGUUAAGUGUUCCACCUGGGGAGUACGCCCGCAAGGGUG
rnacentral:rRNA from 1 species